rnacentral:lncRNA from 1 species
GUACUUUGAGGAUGUACUUAGUAUAUACGGGUGAAUGUAUAAGUAAAAGUAAUAUCUCAAUAUUAUUAAAAUUCAUAGAAUAUGCAUGUUUUAUGUAAUGACUCACAUGGCUGGAAUAACUAAAAACUAAAAAUCAUAAAUCAUGAAUAAUAAAACUUACUACAUAAAUAUGGUGAGCCAUCACAUUUGAAGUCUAAAAAACUGAACUAUUAUCUGUCAUUCUUUU